AUGUGUUAGCUGAGUCCCCUGAAGGCAGCAGAUGGUUGGUUGGAGGUAUUACUGAGGUAAACUUCCAGUAUCCAGAUCCAAAGCGGUGGACAGUGAAAAUAACCAGAACUAAGAUGGGGCCUGGAUGUGUUGCUUAGGCUGUGUGAAACACCUGGUCUUAAGCGAUCCUCUCACCCUGGCCUCCCAAAGCAUUGGGAUUACAGGGAGAAAAGAAUGGGAACUGUGAGGAAAAGAAUGACAUGAACAAUGGGAAGACCAAGGUCCCAGCACAAGUAGUAGAUGCUGAGGAAAGAAGAAGUAUGUUGUGGAGUAAGUGAGUGGGCCUGAGUUGAGAAGAUCCUGGCCUUGGAUUUUAAAACUGUCAGGAAUUGCAUAAAUUCGCUAGAAUCAGAAGUCAGUUGUCCUGAUCUCAGAACAAUUUGGUGUGUACAAAGUCCAAGGUUUGAAAACUCAUCAAGAAGUCAGCAUCCUGCAAGAAUCAGCCACCCAUGCCACACUUUCUAUAGUAACUUCUGUUCUGCAUCAGACUACAUCACUCUGGCUUUCUGGUAUGCGGAUUUGUAUUAGUCCAUUUUCAUACUGAGACCAGGUAAUUUAUGAAAAAAAGAGGUUUAAUUGACUCAUGGUUCCACAUGGCUGGGUGGGUGUCAGGAAACUUACAAUCAUGGCGG
rnacentral:lncRNA from 10 species